AAGCCCCUGCCGUGUGCGUGAUCGGCAAUAAUCCCUUGCUCCAACAUUUUACCUAAAGGGAGCCAAAACCCAUGCUCGGUGUGCACGUUCCGCAAAGUGCGGAAAAGCCUAAAGAGGUUGGGAGGCGCCCACCUGUUCAUAACAGGUUCAAGGAUUCUGUCUACACGGCAAUGUGCGGGGGCUUU
rnacentral:other from 1 species